UUGCAACAAAGGAAAAGACAGAAUUAGACUUGAAGGGAAAAGGUGCAGAACAAAAGGUUCUCUGGGAGGGGGAAUCCACCUGGCAACAAUUCCACUUCCUGUUCCUGCCACUUGCUUCCCAUGUGUCUUCCCAGGUCUCCUCUGCUGUGAACUCAUCCACGGACAAAGGUCCUGCUGGAGACCAGACUGAGCCCUCCAUUUCUCUAAUCCUGGGGUAUCUUUCUAUCUCUUAGAGGAUGCCCCCACCAUGCCAUCCCACAUCUGCUGAUGCAUGGACUGACUAGGACAUCAGACGCCAUUGCUGAGGCUCGGACACUGGCAGAUAAAAUGUUAGGGGAACCAGGGGCUGCCCAGGGGACAAUCAGGAAUCAGGUUUCUGGUUAAGCAGUGACAUCACAAACCUUUAUUAUCCCUCUCCCUGCCCAAGCACAAACUCUGCCUUUUCUGGAUACAAAUGUGGCCCAUGAUAAUCUCGGAAUGUUUCCAGCAGUGAAGGAUGGGGGUAUCGAGCCUGCCCUGAUGAUGCCUUGAACAGGUCUCCUGUGCUGUGAACUCAUCCAGGGACAAAGGUCCUGCUGGAGACCAGACUGAGCCCUCCAUUUCUCUAAUCCUGGGGUAUCUUUCUAUCUGUUAGAGGAUGCCCCCACCAUGCCAUCCCACAUCUGCUGAUGCAUGGACUGACUAGGACAUCAGACGCCAUUGCUGAGGCUCGGACACUGCCAG
rnacentral:lncRNA from 1 species